GAUGAACGCUGGCGGCGUGCCUAAUACAUGCAAGUCGAGCGAACGGACGAGAAGCUUGCUUCUCUGAUGUUAGCGGCGGACGGGUGAGUAACACUUGGAUAACCUCCUUUUAAGACUGGGAUAAUUUCGGGAAACCGGAGCUAAUACCGGAUAAUAUUUUGAACCGCAUGGUUCAAAAGUGAAAGACGUUCUUGCUGUCACUUAUAGAUGGAUCCGCGCUGCAUUAGCUAGUUGGUAAGGUAACGGCUUACCAAGGCAACGAUGCAUAGCCGACCUGAGAGGGUGAUCGGCCAAACUGGAACUGAGACACGGUCCAGACUCCUACGGGAGGCAGCAGUAGGGAAUCUUCCGCAAUGGGCGAAAGCCUGACGGAGCAACGCCGCGUGAGUGAUGAAGGUCUUCGGAUCGUAAAACUCUGUUAUUAGGGAAGAACAUAUGUGUAAGUAACUGUGCACAUCUUGACGGUACCUAAUCAGAAAGCCACGGCUAACUACGUG
rnacentral:rRNA from 1 species